rnacentral:lncRNA from 1 species
GGAUUGGAUGAAACCCGCCAGAUUUAAAACUACAAAGACACCAAGUUGCUUCUGAGCGCUUGGGAGCUCUAGGUGGCCGGACCUCUUCCCUGUGAUGUGAGCCAAGCGAGGCACCCUAGGAAGCCCAAUUCUCGGCCCAAUCGACGGGCACCUGGAAAGCUGUACCCCACCCUUGGGGCACCCACGCCACUCUCAGCCGGCUUCCGGAGAUCUAGGCCGUGCUGCUCGGAGGAGGAGGACUUCCCCAGGAUCUGGGCCACGCCAACUCCACCCCAGGGGACUGGCGCUUCCGUGCAGCCAGGAGCGGGGAAGGUGGCAGCGAACGUUGGAAUCCGGAAGGCGGCCUCCGCCCCUCCAGCCCCUUGGAGGCUGUUAGUCUUUGCAGCAGUUGGGGCCUCCUCCCCCGCCGCUUUUCUUUUCCUCUGCUGACUAGAGCCGCAAUCUGACCACAUCCCCGCGGCGCGGCCCAGAGGGUCAGCACUUGUGGCCGUAAACAACCCCGAAAAUGUGUUCUUAUCUGCCCUGCGAGCUGAUUAUAAUGCUAAAGUAUUCUUUAAAAUGCCUGUCGCUGGUCACAUUUUGCAGAGGAGGAAAGGAGACCUUAAGGCACUUGGCCAAGGUCAUAAAGAUGGCAGAGCCAGGAUUCAAACUCCAGUCCUCUGGCUCAAAACCCAGGAUCCUUCCCACUGCACCACUAUCCUGGCAGCAGAAGAGUAAGGAAGAAAUAUACAUUUACCUAAAGUAUACCUGUGAUCUCCAGAGUAAGUUUUAAUUUUCCUAAGAAGAGGAGGGGAAUCUAAGAGAUAAGAAUCACUUUUGAUAAUUCCUGCCUGUAAUAAAAAUCUCUUAAGUGUGCA